GGGCCCGCACAAGCGGUGGAGCAUGUGGUUUAAUUCGAUGCAACGCGAAGAACCUUACCAGGUCUUGACAUCUUCUGCUAACCCAAGAGAUUGGGCGUUCCCUUCGGGGACGGAAUGACAGGUGGUGCAUGGCUGUCGUCAGCUCGUGUCGUGAGAUGUUGGGUUAAGUCCCGCAACGAGCGCAACCCUUAUUGUUAGUUGCCAGCAUUUAGUUGGGCACUCUAGCAAGACUGCCGGUGACAAACCGGAGGAAGGUGGGGAUGACGUCAAGUCCUCAUGCCCCUUAUGACCUGGGCUACACACGUGCUACAAUGGACGGUACAACGAGUCGCGAAACCGCGAGGUCAAGCUAAUCUCUUAAAGCCGUUCUCAGUUCGGAUUGCAGGCUGCAACUCGCCUGCAUGAAGUCGGAAUCGCUAGUAAUCGUGGAUCAGCAUGCCACGGUGAAUACG
rnacentral:rRNA from 1 species